UACGGGGGGAGCAAGCGUUGUUCGGAUUUACUGGGCGUAAAGGGCGCGUAGGCGGCCACCGCAAGUCGACUGUGAAAUCUCCGGGCUUAACUCGGAAAGGUCAAGUGAUACUGUCGGGCUAGAGUACAGAAGGGGCAACUGGAAUUCUCGGUGUAGCGGUGAAAUGCGUAGAUAUCGAGAGGAACACCUGCGGCGAAGGCGGGUUGCUGGGCUGAUACUGACGCUGAUGCGCGAAAGCCAGGGGAGCGAACGGG
rnacentral:rRNA from 1 species